rnacentral:rRNA from 1 species
UAAUAUGCCCUAUACCACCCUGCAUCCCACUGCUGGCUUGCUUCUGAAGCUAAGCAGGGUUGGUCCUGGUCAGUCCUUGGAUGGGAGACCAGAUGCUACUGGAAGUGGUGUUGG